rnacentral:tRNA from 1 species
GCACUGGUGGUUCAAUGGUACAAUUCUCACCUUCCAUGUAAGUGACCUGGGUUUGAUUUCCUGCCAAUGCA